rnacentral:lncRNA from 1 species
CUCCAGAGAGAGCCAUCCUGAUGGAACCUACUGACCAGGAGGACACAAAAGAAAAGAGGGAAGAGAUGAAAGAAGAGAUUUCAAAAGACUCCUCAGUAUAGUGGAGAUACAUGAGAAAGCAAGAGUGAUCAGGACAGCCACUGUUUCCCUUUGGACCAUUCCUUCUUGAGGGUAACUGAAGAUGUCAAAUGGCUCACUUCUCAUUGUGGAUCAAAGCUAGUUUUAUCAUCAUGUUGGCAUUUUAUCUUUGUUCUGAUACUGCAUUGUCUGAGUUGCCUGCUGUGUUGGCUGAGCCAAACUGUGACAUAUACAAAGACCCAGCACUUGAUUACACCAGGAAAUUUCCUUCUAUCUGUGGAUCCAAUGGUAAAACCUAUGAUAACUCAUGCAUGUUUUGCAUCACAGAAAGAGAAAGUAACGGCGAAAUUACUUAUGACCACUGGGGCCCAUGUUGA